AAGUCGUAACAAGGUAUCCGUAGGUGAACCUGCGGAUGGAUCAUUAAGAAGGCUUAUAGGAGUUAUCCUGUUACCUACCUUUUGUGGUGUAGAAAGCAUUGUUGUGUAGGGGGGAGUGCGAUCCGAUGGUGAGUGUGGUGCGGUGUGUUGGUAAUGGGGAGAAUGAUAUAUAUAUAUAUAUAUUUCUAUUCCCUCAUCGUCCCUACCGCUACCACCGCCGUCGCCGCCGCAUCUUCCCCCUCUCACCACUAUAUUAACCUUUUAAACCUUUUCUUUAUCAACUAAAGUAUUAUCUUGCGGAUCAUUCUAAACCCUUUUUGGUGUGGACGAUCGAUCAUCAAGUAAAACAAAAUAUAUAAUUAAAUACAACUGCUAGCAACGGAUCACUCGGCUCUC
rnacentral:misc_RNA from 1 species